rnacentral:miRNA from 1 species
GAUAGGAAAGAUGACAAUCUGAAGGCAUAGCAGGUCAUAGAAUUCAACAGCUAUGCCAACAUCUUGCCUUCACUCCAAAUCCCAGAUUCUCAAGCAGUCACC